UGUACAUGUUAAGAACACCAAUCUGCUAAUCAGAAAUUCAAUUUCUGACAAGCACUUUGUUUCUGGCCAUUUGAAAAAUGUCAGAGUUGACAAUUGGAAGGUGUUUGAGAUCAGAGUACCUAAAAGACGGGCUUUUUCUGGUUCUGGUUAUCACUCUUUACUUGUUAAAGCUAUGGGUAAGAAGAACUCCGACAAUUCCUCUUCUUCAGGGAAGGGCCCAGAAGAAGAUAACUUAAAA
rnacentral:misc_RNA from 1 species